AAUCUCCACGAGAGCCGGGUAAACAAAGUAGAUUGAUUGACCCAAAUGAUGUCUUUCAUGUUCUUCACGGGAACAAGGGCACAAAAGCAAUUGAAGGGAUGAUUGUAAAUUCUAACAUGUUAAAGAAUGUGCCUUUGAAUACUAAAGUAUUCAAAAGGAUGGUAAAGUUACGAAUACUCAUAUUGGAUGGUAUAUGUCUCAGCGGAUCUUUUAAAUAUUUAUCCAAUGAGCUUAGGUUGUUUAGAUUACGCAAUUGCCAUUUGAGUUGCAUACCAUCUAAUUUUGAAUGUGAGAAACUUGUUGAGUUAGACAUGGGAGGUAGCAAUAUCAAAGAAUUCCAAUGCAAUAUGCAGCAUUUUAGAUGCUUGAGGAUCUUAAAGCUUGAUUAUUGUAAACAACUUAAGAAAACACCAAACUUCACUGGGGCACAUACUCUUC